rnacentral:rRNA from 1 species
CCUAGGGAGGCAGCAGUGGGGAAUAUUGGACAAUGGGGGCAACCCUGAUCCAGCCAUGCCGCGUGUGUGAAGAAGGCCCUCGGGUUGUAAAGCACUUUCAGUGAGGAAGAACGCCUGGUGGUUAAUACCCAUCAGGAAAGACAUCACUCACAGAAGAAGCACCGGCUAACUCCGUGCCAGCAGCCGCGGUAAUACGGAGGGUGCGAGCGUUAAUCGGAAUUACUGGGCGUAAAGCGCGCGUAGGUGGCUUGAUAAGCCGGUUGUGAAAGCCCCGGGCUCAACCUGGGAACGGCAUCCGGAACUGUCAAGCUAGAGUGCAGGAGAGGAAGGUAGAAUUCCCGGUGUAGCGGUGAAAUGCGUAGAGAUCGGGAGGAAUACCAGUGGCGAAGGCGGCCUUCUGGACUGACACUGACACUGAGGUGCGAAAGCGUGGGUAGCAAACAGGAUUAGAUACCCCGGUAGUC